rnacentral:rRNA from 1 species
AACGAACGCUGGCGGCAUGCCUAACACAUGCAAGUCGAACGAGACCUUCGGGUCUAGUGGCGCACGGGUGCGUAACGCGUGGGAAUCUACCCUCAGGUUCGGAAUAACUCAGAGAAAUUUGAGCUAAUACCGGAUGAUGACGUAAGUCCAAAGAUUUAUCGCCUGAGGAUGAGCCCGCGUAGGAUUAGGUAGUUGGUGAGGUAAAGGCUCACCAAGCCGACGAUCCUUAGCUGGUCUGAGAGGAUGAUCAGCCACACUGGGACUGAGACACGGCCCAGACUCCUACGGGAGGCAGCAGUGGGGAAUAUUGGACGAUGGGCGAAAGCCUGAUCAAGCAAUGCCGCGUGAGUGAUGAAGGCCUUAGGGUUGUAAAGCUCUUUUACCCGGGAUGAGAAUGACAGUACCGGGAGAAUAAGCGCCGGCUAACUCCGUG